CUUCAAACCGCGGUUAAUCUGAGGAUUUUCAAAGCCCAAUAAACCACUUUGAACUAAUCAGUGGAAGAGGCAAGAGUGGUUCGUCAUUUGUUCGCGCCGUGAUGUGUUCAGCGUGAAUAGCAAUUGAUAGUGAAACCCAAAUUAGCUUGGCGAUUCUUGUGUGCGCACCGAAGAAGAUUUUAAGGUUCGUGGCAGCCGUCGAACGUCCAAAGCAUCACAUCUCCUCGUUGGUAACCACUCUUGACCCCACGGUUCGUCUCAAGGUUGGUCCCGGUGGUACACGUGGCCGGAAGAAGGCAGCAUCCGUCAAACCGCGCCUUGGCAGGACCAUUCGACUACCGAAACGCAGUACCAGCA